UACGGAGGAUCCAAGCGUUAUCCGGAAUCAUUGGGUUUAAAGGGUCCGUAGGCGGUUUUGUAAGUCAGUGGUGAAAGCCCAUCGCUCAACGGUGGAACGGCCAUUGAUACUGCAAGACUUGAAUUACUAGGAAGUAACUAGAAUAUGUAGUGUAGCGGUGAAAUUCGUAGAUAUUAGGAAGAACACCAAUAGCGAAGGCAGCUCGCUGGGACGGUAUUGACGCUGAGGCGCGAAAGCCAGGGGAGCAAACGGG
rnacentral:rRNA from 1 species